rnacentral:rRNA from 1 species
CCUACGGGGGGCAGCAGUGGGGGAUAUUGGACAAUGGGGGAAACCCUGAUCCAGCGACGCCGCGUGAGUGAAGAAGUAUUUCGGUAUGUAAAGCUCUAUCAGCAGGGAAGAAAGAAAUGCCGGUACCUGACCAAGAAGCCUCGGCUAACUACGUGCCAGCAGCCGCGGUAAUACGGAGGGGGCAAGCGUUAUCCGGAAUGACUGGGUGUAAAGGGAGCGUAGACGGCGAUGCAAGUCUGGAGUGAAAGGCGGGGGCUCAACCCCCGGACUGCACUGGAAACUGUGUGACUUGAGUGCAGGAGAGGUAAGCGGAAUUCCUAGUGUAGCGGUGAAAUGCUUAGAUAUUAGGAGGAACACCAGUGGCGAAGGCGGCUUACUGGACUGUAACUGACGUUGAGGCUCGAAAGCGUGGGGAGCAAACAGGAUUAGAUACCCUAGUAGUC